GGGGUUGUAGUUAAAUAUUAAUAUCUAACUUGCAAUUAGAAGAAACUUAAUUAUAAGUCUUCCUCA
rnacentral:tRNA from 1 species